GACGAACGCUGGCGGCGUGCUUAACACAUGCAAGUCGAACGAAGAGCGAUGGAAGCUUGCUUCUAUCAAUCUUAGUGGCGAACGGGUGAGUAACGCGUAAUCAACCUGCCCUUCAGAUGGGGACAACAGUUGGAAACGACUGCUAAUACCGCAUACGAUCUAAUCUCGGCAUCGAGGAUAGAUGAAAGGUGGCCUCUACAUGUAAGCUAUCACUGAAGGAGGGGAUUGCGUCUGAUUAGCUAGUUGGAGGGGUAACGGCCCACCAAGGCGAUGAUCAGUAGCCGGUCUGAGAGGAUGAACGGCCACAUUGGGACUGAGACACGGCCCAGACUCCUACGGGAGGCAGCAGUGGGGAAUCUUCCGCAAUGGACGAAAGUCUGACGGAGCAACGCCGCGUGAGCGAUGACGGCCUUCGGGUUGUAAAGCUCUGUUAAUCGGGACGAAAGGCCUUCUUGCGAAUAGUGAGAAGGAUUGACGGUACCGGAAUAGAAAGCCACGGCUAACUACGUG
rnacentral:rRNA from 1 species